AUAGUACAUACCACGGCCUUUGCUACACCAGUUGCGGAGCACUGGCUGGAACGAGAAAUAGCCUAAUGGGUCCACCGACGGGGAUCGAUCCUAGACCGCGCUUCACCACUGGAAUACGUCCCGUCCUUCGCAGGACAUUGACUACUUGGAACAUUGCCAAUAGGGGAAGGGCAAUUCUGAUGUCAUAAUCGAGGCGUGGCAAAUUCGAUAAAUGGGCAAUUACCUAGAGCCGACGUCAUUGCUGGGGCGUGGACAUUAUAUACGAUGAGAUCAGCUUGAAAUGUUCUCAUGGGUGGACAACGUACAUUUCAGAAUCUCCAGGAAAAGAAAUUCUGCAGCUCAACAAAUACAAACCAUCCUUGAUAGUGGUCCAUAGACUUGCCAAAUGUCAUUACGAAUGUUUCAUGUGCUAUUCGUGUUCCUACACGUACGAUGACGGUCGCAACGGAAUUGAAUGUCUCAACAAACCGGGAGCCUUAGGACCGAGAUACACUGUAAAAUGCGGAAACCACUGCAUAACAGCAGAGCAAUGGGAUAUUCGACACAAGCGAAUCAACUCAUUUUUUCGUGGAUGCUCUCCGAACAUUGGCAACAAAUGUACCCCGGAUGUGUGGCACAUAUCGUGCGUGACGUCAUGUCGAGGAGACUACUGCAACAGAGAUUUGUUCGUCGAUACGAAAAACCCACCAGUUAUGAAUACAUGCAAAGAUUUUUACGGGUGCAGUGACGGAGUUACACGAAUGACGUCACAGUACUCUAUCGCGUUCGUGUGUGUGUUAUUAGUGAACAUACUGUACUUCGCCUGGUGUUAACGGUGUUUGUAUCUAUAAUGCUAGAUUCAGACUACCAGCUGUCACAACGGAUUUGGCCAAUUCGACAGUUGCGUUGUAAUCCCCCCCCCCCCCCCCCCCCACCACCACACACACCACUACUAACUUAUGACGGGUGCGCUCAGACCAACAACUAAUUGUUCGUAGGCGUUGCCAUGGGCGGAUCCAAGGGGGGGGGGGACCAGGGGGACGCGUCCCCCCCCCCAAAAUUGUUCAAGUGCCCUCAAAAUG